rnacentral:tRNA from 1 species
AUCUGGGUGGCUCAGUCGGUUGAGUGUCUGACUUUGGCUCAGGUCAUGAUCUCACAGUUUGUGGGUUUGAACCCCACAUCGGGCU